GGGGGGAAGCAAGUAGUCAACUACUCGCUUACAUCCCUGGUAUCUAAUGGUCCCUUCUUGCCUUAAACUCUAUGAAUCCAACUGGCUUUAAACAGUGGGGGACAAGAAUGGAGGGGAAAUCUCUUGAGAGAUUGAAGAGACUGGGAUUGCUCAUCUUGACAGAGGAGAUUGGCUUGGACCUGUGAAAGACUACCCACUGGAGAAGCAACUGCCUCUAGUGGAACCGAGCAACCAUCACUGCGCGACUCCCCUCAUCAUAGGAACUACUUUCCCCAGAGUGCUUUGCGAAAGCCUGGCUAUUUCCCAUGGUGCCUUGCAGGGGAAACUACACAAAGGGGGCAGGCUGCGCUCUGCCUUCUUAACCAGCUGCUGCUGCAGGGCCUCCAACCCCGCCUGCAUCCUCUUCCGUGCACUGUGGAGAACCAGGGCUAGGAGUCCCUGAUCCAGAUGCAGAAGGAACCGGGGGAGGAGUCCACUCUUCUGGAUCCUCAGGGCUCGGAGGAAAUGGAGGCUGGAGUAGCAGACGACUGUGCCGCCUGCCUCUUGAAGGAAGAGGAUUCCGAGCUGGAAGACCCGGAGAUGGUGCCAUCCCACAAGAUGCAGCCAGGGGUCUCCAAGGGCGACAUCUCACCUGGCUCCCAAUGGGACAUGGCUGGCCAAAGCCCAGCCACUGGAGCAAAGGUGC